rnacentral:rRNA from 1 species
UACGGGGGGGGGCAAGCGUUGUUCGGAAUUACUGGGCGUAAAGGGCUCGUAGGCGGCCAACUAAGUCAGACGUGAAAUCCCUCGGCUUAACCGGGGAACUGCGUCUGAUACUGGAUGGCUUGAGUUUGGGAGAGGGAUGCGGAAUUCCAGGUGUAGCGGUGAAAUGCGUAGAUAUCUGGAGGAACACCGGUGGCGAAGGCGGCAUCCUGGACCGGUAUUGACGCUGAGGAGCGAAAGCCAGGGGAGCAAACGGG